UGGCGUUGUUAUUGAAGUCUGUUGACCGGGGCCCUUUUCAUGUUGUACUACUGAGAUUGAGUUAAGCAGUGCAAUAUUAAAAGGGCAUUGGCUGGCAGUAUUCUCCACCUUCCCCACU
rnacentral:pre_miRNA from 17 species